rnacentral:rRNA from 1 species
UACGUAGGGGGGCGAGCGUUGUCCGGAUUCAUUGGGCGUAAAGAGCUCGUAGGCGGUUCGGUAAGUCAGGUGUGAAAUCUCCACGCUCAACGUGGAGGGGCCACCUGAUACUGCCGUGACUCGAGUCCGGUAGGGGAGUGUGGAAUUCCCGGUGUAGCGGUGAAAUGCGCAGAUAUCGGGAGGAACACCAGUGGCGAAGGCGGCACUCUGGGCCGGAACUGACGCUGAGGAGCGAAAGCAUGGGUAGCGAACAGG